rnacentral:rRNA from 1 species
GCCACGAGCUAUAUCACCCUGCAACUCACAGCUAAGCUCAGCAGGUGUGAGCCUGGUCAGUACCUGGAUGGGAGACCUCCUGGGAAAAACUAAGGUUGCUGCUGGAA